rnacentral:snRNA from 1 species
GGAUGUGAGGGCGUUCUGGCUGUGACAUCUGUCACCCCAUUGAUCGCCAGGGUUGAUUCGGCUGAUCUGGCUGGCUAGGCGGGUGUCCCCCUCCUCCCUCACCGAUCCAUGUGCGUCCCUCCUGAAGCUGCCUGCUCAGUCGAAGAGGACGACCUCCCCCACCACCCCCCAGGAGAGAACGGGUCUUCGGUUAAGGGUAUACGAGUAGCUGCACUCCCCUGCUAGAACCUCCAAACAAGCUCUCAAAUCUUUAAUCUAUUUUGAGUUAAUUUUUAUGCAUUGUGUAAGAUAGUAGUCUAAUAUAAUUAUUUUGCAUGUGGUAGUCCAGUUCUU